rnacentral:rRNA from 1 species
AGUGAACGCUGGCGGUAGGCCUAACACAUGCAAGUCGAACGGCAGCACAGUAAGAGCUUGCUCUUACGGGUGGCGAGUGGCGGACGGGUGAGGAAUACAUCGGAAUCUACUUUUUCGUGGGGGAUAACGUAGGGAAACUUACGCUAAUACCGCAUACGACCUACGGGUGAAAGCAGGGGAUCUUCGGACCUUGCGCGAUUGAAUGAGCCGAUGUCGGAUUAGCUAGUUGGCGGGGUAAAGGCCCACCAAGGCGACGAUCCGUAGCUGGUCUGAGAGGAUGAUCAGCCACACUGGAACUGAGACACGGUCCAGACUCCUACGGGAGGCAGCAGUGGGGAAUAUUGGACAAUGGGCGCAAGCCUGAUCCAGCCAUACCGCGUGGGUGAAGAAGGCCUUCGGGUUGUAAAGCCCUUUUGUUGGGAAAGAAAAGCAGCAGGUUAAGACCCCGCUGUUCGGACGGGACCCAAAGAAUAAGCACCGGCUAACUUCGU